UAAGAUUAAAAUAGAUUACUUACCGUAAUUCGCUUUCCAAAUUUCUCAAGUUCAGAUGACAAAUCCUUAAUCACCUAAAACAACAUCAUAGAGAUUACAUCAUUCCCCAUUUAUUUAUUAUAAAAUUUCUUAGUUCAUCAUACUAUAAACUUAUUUGCUUGGAUCCCAUCCAAGGAUUUAGCCCAAGUCCAAUUUGAAGCCUUUGGGGUUCGAUUUAAAACCAGAUUGGGUCCAUAUGGGUUGAUUGGAUUUUUAAUUAAAGGAUUGGGCCUCGUUUAUAAUUGGGUCCAGUCAAUUGGACCCUCUGAUUUGGUCAAUGUGGCUCAUUUGGGCCUGAGUCAGGAUUAGCCCAAGGUCAAUUCGACCUUCUGUCAGUUGAAUUGGGCCUGAUUCAUAAUCAAUUAGGUCCACUGAGACCAACUCAGCUUAAUUGGGUUCGGACCCAUUUCAAUUUAACUUAAAUUAGCUCGGAUUUAAUCCAAUUUAUAGUUUAGGCUCGUCCAGACUUAGCCCAAUCUAAUUGAGCACGGAUUUAGACUUAGCCCAGUCUAAUUGGGCUUGGGUUAGUCAAAUUUGGCUAAACCCAUUUCAUUUUUUUU
rnacentral:lncRNA from 1 species